UUUAUUCUUUUAGCGCCAGGGCUAGAGAUAGUUGACGAGGACAAAGUUAUCGAAAUAUUCGGCGGAUGCUUUGCGGAAUGUCUAUUCCGAUAGGAUAUUAAUUAUUCAUAGACAUCAGUCAUUAAG
rnacentral:ncRNA from 2 species